ACCUUAACGACCUUGUUCCAGCACCAGCGAAUGUGGCCAUUUUCUGGGGUCUGCUGGGACCAGGUGGCUUCAACCGUCUCUACCAAACGUCCUUCCAGCAGUGGAACCGCUUUUCCCGGUGUGGCCAGCGAGAACCCACUCGGUUCCUGAGGAUUCGCCCUUCCCACCAGAGCACCGCCAGGUACCCAUACCACAGUGCCUAUCUCCCCAGCUUUAAGGUCAUUGAGGAGGCACGUUUCUACAAGGGCCAUUCCUACCUACCACAAUGAGGCCAUGACCACUCUCAGAAGGCUGGACAGAAGCAUGUUUGAGAUCUUCCACUCAUGAUGGCGCUGCUAGUCUACGUGGGUGGAUUGUUGCGGUGCUGUUCAGUGCGCAUGUGCAUGCGUGGGAGUGGUGAAAAUGGUGCCACCCAGCCACCCGGUCUGUUCUCCCGGAUCAGCAGUCGCACACCGGUCCUCCGUCUUCAGCUCUCGUCCACUCCCCGCUUUUCCACUCUCCGUGACCAGGCCCCAGGCAGUACCUCUCUCCCAAAUUUGUCUCAGAUGCGGCUGUUUUCCCUGGCCCCUUACUUCUGAAGGACUGUGGCUUUGACCCGCUCCACCCCUCUGCAAGAGGGUCUCACCGAGAGAUGGCCAAAUGAGUGAUGGCCAAAUGUCAGCUGUACCCAGGAACGCCCACUGGACCCUGCUGUUGCCGGUGCCCCAAGACUGCGGCCAGGUGCCAGCCCGCCACCCCCAAAACUCGCGAGACA